UUCGUCCAGGGGGCCGCCUUCGCCACCGGUAUUCCUCCAGAUCUCUACGCAUUUCACCGCUACACCUGGAAUUCUACCCCCCUCUACGAGACUCAAGCUUGCCAGUAUCAGAUGCAGUUCCCAGGUUGAGCCCGGGGAUUUCACAUCUGACUUAACAAACCGCCUGCGUGCGCUUUACGCCCAGUAAUUCCGAUUAACGCUUGCACCCUCCGUAUUACCGCGGCUGCUGGCACGGAGUUAGCCGGUGCUUCUUCUGCGGGUAACGUCAAUGAGCAAAGGUAUUAACUUUACUCCCUUCCUCCCCGCUGAAAGUACUUUACAACCCGAAGGCCUUCUUCAUACACGCGGCAUGGCUGCAUCAGGCUUGCGCCCAUUGUGCAAUAUUCCCCACUGCUGCCUCCCGUAGGAGUCUGGACCGUGUCUCAGUUCCAGUGUGGCUGGUCAUCCUCUCAGACCAGCUAGGGAUCGUCGCCUAGGUGAGCCGUUACCCCACCUACUAGCUAAUCCCAUCUGGGCACAUCCGAUGGCAAGAGGCCCGAAGGUCCCCCUCUUUGGUCUUGCGACGUUAUGCGGUAUUAGCUACCGUUUCCAGUAGUUAUCCCCCUCCAUCAGGCAGUUUCCCAGACAUUACUCACCCGUCCGCCACUCGUCAGCAAAGCAGCAAGCUGCUUCCUGUUACCGUUCGACUUGCAUGUGUUA
rnacentral:rRNA from 1 species